UACGAAGGGGCGAGCGUUGUUCGGAUUACUGGGCGUAAAGGCGCGCAGGCGGCAGAUCAAGUCAGACGUCGAAAUCCCCGGGCGUUAACCUGGGAACUGCAUUUGUGACUGGCGGACUCGAGUAUGGCAGAGGGGGGUAGAAUUCCACGUGUAGCAGUGAAAUGCGUAGAGAUGGUGGAGGAAUACCGAUGGCGAAGGCAGCCCCCUGGGCCAAUACUGACGCUACAUGCGA
rnacentral:rRNA from 1 species